AAGCAGAAGUAAAUAAGGCAACCAGCCCACAUCGUCGGGUAGCGACAUUUUUUGUUCUCGAUGUUACUAAGCUGCCUGUUCGUGGUUCAUUGGGUUCCGUUGCUGCAUCCGCAGCAGAGGUUGCAGCUCGUGCAGAACGGGGUGGUACAAGCAGUAAAGUUUCAGUUUCAACUGAGAAUAAAGUGGAAGUGAAAGAGAUUGCCCCUCAGAUGGAGGAAAUUACAAAAGAAGAGGCGGAGCAAGGCGGAUCUAGUUGCCGCCCACAAUUAUAUUCGUCCCUUCCAGUUUCACACUCCUCCUCUUCUUCGUCAUCAUCCAACACCUCUGGCAGUAACACUCCUCCAACAGGUCCUGCUGCAGGCGAUGUAGAAAAUGACCAACUGUUACAUCAACUAAUGAAAAAACUGGAGGAGCUACAUCCCUGUAUUGACACAAAAAAGGACCCUUUAAAAUCUAACACUUGGUGGCACUCCAACGCAGGCCCUGCACUUUCUUCUGCACCACCACCACCACCACCAACAACAACAAUUACAGUUCCGACUGUACAACGACCUCCAUCCUAUCACACUACAACCUCCGACACUGAUCCUGUGCAGCGACGAUGGACUGGAGUAGUCCGAGAUGCUAUUUUAGAAGGAGAUUGGCAGACAGUUGGAUCUUUAGCCUGCCCUGUGGUCAUUGAAGGGGGAGUUGGGAAGUGGGAACCACAUAAUUGGAAAAUUUUACAAGCAAAACAAAGAGUAACCACUUACGGAUUAAAAUCAGAAGCAGCAAAGAACAUUAUAAAAUAUAUAUUUACAGGGGAUUUGAUGGCUCCUGCCGAUUGUCAGAACAUUGCUUCAUUUUUAUUGACUCCUUCUCAAUGUUUAAUGUGGGAAAGAACAUGGAAACAACUUGUAAUUACUGACCUAAAUAAGCAUCAACGUGAUCAGAAAGAUCCAUUUUAUGCUGUGACUGUAGAUAUGCUAACAGGUCAAGGUGCAUAUGCCACCACAGCUGUACAGGUGACUUUCCCUCCAAUUUUUCACCAAAUGUCAAAACAGGUAGCCCACCAGGCUCUUCUGCAGAUUUCUGAAGGGAAAAAGACAGCUCCAUUUGCAGCUGUUCGACAAGGAGUUACAGAACCAUACAGUGCCUGUAUUGAUCGACUAUCUCAAGCUAUAAGAGAUCAAGCGGACUUACCUGAUGAAAUGAAAGACUGUAUGUUUUGGUUGUUA
rnacentral:lncRNA from 1 species